rnacentral:rRNA from 1 species
UACGUAGGGGGCAAGCGUUAUCCGGAUUCACUGGGUGUAAAGGGAGCGUAGACGGCCAUGCAAGCCUGGAGUGAAAGCCCGGGGCCCAACCCCGGGACUGCUCUGGGAACUGUGCGGCUGGAGUGCGGGAGGGGCAGGCGGAAUUCCUGGUGUAGCGGUGAAAUGCGUAGAUAUCAGGAGGAACACCAGUGGCGAAGGCGGCUUACUGGACGGCAACUGACGCUGAGGCUCGAAAGCGUGGGGAGCAAACAGG